GUCAAGUGACUAAGUGCAUGUGGUGGAUGCCUUGGCGAUUACAGGCGACGAAGGACGUGAUAGCCUGCGAUAAGCUUCGGGGAGCUGGCAAAUUAGCUUUGAUCCGGAGAUUUCCGAAUGGGGAAACCCACCGAAAGGUAUCGUAUUCUGAAUACAUAGGGAUACGAGGCGAACC
rnacentral:rRNA from 1 species